rfam:Prosthecobacter debontii strain ATCC 700200 genome assembly, contig: EI75DRAFT_scaffold00014.14
CAGCUAUGUGCGGAAGAGAUAAGCGCUGAAAGCAUCUAAGCGCCAAGCUCAUCCCGAGAUAAACUUUCCCUGAAGGAUCGUGGAAGACUACCACGUUGAUAGGUCGCGGGUGCAAGCGCAGUAAUGUGUUCAGCUUAGCGAUACUAAUCAUCCGUUUGUCUUGCAUUG